AUGCUCCAAAAUGCACUUCUUUGCCACAUUAACCCUUUGGACUUACAACACAGGAAAAUAGCUUAAAAUACUAAAAUAACUAUGAACUAACAACAUAAAUGCCAAGAAACAAGGUAACUAAGUCGCAUAAAUAUGCUCCUAUCAGACAUUUGUCUCUCAAUUAGAAGUAGUCCUUCAAAGAAAUAUUGAAUUAAGAGCUCUUCCUUCAUUUGAUGUUGUGGAUAGGAUGCAACUAAAGUCUUGAAAUGCUCGUAAUACACUGGUGAUGCGAAAUAUAUAAGCACACAAAUUAAACCCUCUUUUGACAAUUGUAGUAUAUGUAUAAGUAGGGAUCGUUCUAGAUCGGGGAUUAGGAGGGAUUGGUAAAACACUUGAAACUGACUGGAAAACGUAAAACUAAGUUUGAAACACUAAACUAGACUCAAAGAAUGCAAAACUAGACUCUAAUACACUAGAACAACUCAAAUAACUCAAAACAGCACAAAACAAGCUAAUUGACUCAAAAAAGACAAUCUGCACGAAAUUGGGGAAAAAUAUGGAUGAUUGGUUAGCUAGAGUUCCUUCUCCACACAUGACACAUUUGCAUAGAAAUUGAUGUUCAGUUGUUCUUUCAAUAAACCAUAAACCUCAAUGCCCCAGAUUAACUGUGAAUUGCACUAAUGAACCUUCAGAUUUUCCUAGUUUCAUUGAAUUGGACUCUGCAUCGACAACCAAAUUAUUCCUCACAAGUUCCCUACAUGAAUUGCAUAAUAGAGAUAUAAGCAAAGAUCACUAAGUUCUAUGAAAAUCAUAAGCAUUGACAAGGUACUUGUAACUAUGAAUUGCAUGAUACUUAUGCCAAGAAUUUACUUAACACGAUCGUGACCAGCAACCUCCACUACUCGUGAAUAUA
rnacentral:lncRNA from 1 species